GCGACCCCAGGGGUGGGCGAGGCCACCCGCCGAGUUUAAGCAUAUCAAUAAGCGGAGGAGAAGAAA
rnacentral:rRNA from 1 species